ensembl:snRNA U6 U6 spliceosomal RNA
GUGUUUGCUUCAGCAGCACAUAUACUGAAAUUAGAAUGAUACAGAGAAGAUUAGCAGGGCCCCUGUGCAAGGAUGACUGGUAAAUUUGUGGACUGUAUGUCCUUUGA